rnacentral:rRNA from 1 species
UACAGAGGGGGCAAGCGUUGUUCGGAUUUACUGGGCGUAAAGGGCGCGUAGGCGGCCACCGCAAGUCGACUGUGAAAUCUCCGGGCUUAACCCGGAAAGGUCAGCCGAUACUGCGGGGCUAGAAUGCAGAAGGGGCAACUGGAAUUCCUGGUGUAGCGGUGAAAUGCGCAGAUAUCUGGAGGAACACCGGUGGCGAAGGCGGCAUCCUGGACCGACACUGACGCUGAGGAGCGAAAGCCAGGGGAGCAAACGGG